CUGGCGGCGUGCUUAACACAUGCAAGUCGAACGGAAAGGCCCUGCUUUUGUGGGGUGCUCGAGUGGCGAACGGGUGAGUAACACGUGAGUAACCUGCCCUUGACUUUGGGAUAACUUCAGGAAGCUGGGGCUAAUACCGGAUAGGAGCUCCUGCUGCAUGGUGGGGGUUGGAAAGUUUCGGCGGUUGGGGAUGGACUCGCGGCUUAUCAGCUUGUUGGUGGGGUAGUGGCUUACCAAGGCUUUGACGGGUAGCCGGCCUGAGAGGGUGACCGGCCACAUUGGGACUGAGAUACGGCCCAGACUCCUACGGGAGGCAGCAGUGGGGAAUAUUGCACAAUGGGCGGAAGCCUGAUGCAGCAACGCCGCGUGCGGGAUGACGGCCUUCGGGUUGUAAACCGCUUUCGCCUGUGACGAAGCGUGAGUGACGGUAAUGGGUAAAGAAGCACCGGCUAACUACGUGCCAGCAGCCGCGGUGAUACGUAGGGUGCGAGCGUUGUCCGGAUUUAUUGGGCGUAAAGGGCUCGUAGGUGGUUGAUCGCGUCGGAAGUGUAAUCUUGGGGCUUAACCCUGAGCGUGCUUUCGAUACGGGUUGACUUGAGGAAGGUAGGGGAGAAUGGAAUUCCUGGUGGAGCGGUGGAAUGCGCAGAUAUCAGGAGGAACACCAGUGGCGAAGGCGGUUCUCUGGGCCUUUCCUGACGCUGAGGAGCGAAAGCGUGGGGAAGCGAACAGGCUUAGAUACCCUGGUAGUCCACGCUGUAAACGGUGGGUACUAGGUGUGGGGUCCAUUCCACGGGUUCCGUGCCGUAGCUAACGCUUUAAGUACCCCGCCUGGGGAGUACGGCCGCAAGGCUAAAACUCAAAGGAAUUGACGGGGCCCCGCACAAGCGGCGGAGCAUGCGGAUUAAUUCGAUGCAACGCGUAGAACCUUACCUGGGUUUGACAUGGAUCGGGAGUGCUCAGAGAUGGGUGUGCCUCUUUAGGGGUCGGUUCACAGGUGGAGCAUGGCUGUUGUCAGCUCGUGUCGU
rnacentral:rRNA from 1 species